AUUGAACGCUGGCGGCAGGCCUAACACAUGCAAGUCGAGCGGAUGAAGGGAGCUUGCUCCUGGAUUCAGCGGCGGACGGGUGAGUAAUGCCUAGGAAUCUGCCUGGUAGUGGGGGAUAACGUCCGGAAACGGGCGCUAAUACCGCAUACGUCCUGAGGGAGAAAGUGGGGGAUCUUCGGACCUCACGCUAUCAGAUGAGCCUAGGUCGGAUUAGCUAGUUGGUGGGGUAAAGGCCUACCAAGGCGACGAUCCGUAACUGGUCUGAGAGGAUGAUCAGUCACACUGGAACUGAGACACGGUCCAGACUCCUACGGGAGGCAGCAGUGGGGAAUAUUGGACAAUGGGCGAAAGCCUGAUCCAGCCAUGCCGCGUGUGUGAAGAAGGUCUUCGGAUUGUAAAGCACUUUAAGUUGGGAGGAAGGGCAGUAAGUUAACGCCUUGCUGUUUUGACGUUACCAACAGAAUAAGCACCGGCUAACUUCGUG
rnacentral:rRNA from 1 species